GCGGACAUGAAGUGGCGAACGGGUGAGUAACACGUGACCAACCUGCCCCUUGCUCCGGGACAACCUUGGGAAACCGAGGCUAAUACCGGAUACUCCUCGCCCCCCUCCCUGGGGGGCCCGGGAAAGCCCAGACGGCAAGGGAUGGGGUCGCGGCCCAUUAGGUAGUAGGCGGGGUAACGGCCCACCUAGCCCGCGAUGGGUAGCCGGGUUGAGAGACCGACCGGCCACAUUGGGACUGAGAUACGGCCCAGACUCCUACGGGAGGCAGCAUG
rnacentral:rRNA from 1 species